CCCUGUAUUGAAAGUGGCCAUGGUGUGUCUGUCGCCAGGUCACCGAUGGUACAUGAACAUGUGGGCCUUUCCCGUGUCUGCAGGACCUCGGUUCCUGUCGGACCCUGGUGCUCACAGACA
ensembl:snoRNA SNORA71 Small nucleolar RNA SNORA71